rfam:Schistosoma curassoni strain Dakar, Senegal genome assembly, scaffold: SCTD_contig0019547
GCACUGCUGAGUAAUCCCAUAAUAGGACGAAACGGCCGUCCAGUGC